CGAACGGGUGAGUAAUGCGUGACCAACCUGCCCCAUGCUCCAGAAUAGCUCUUGGAAACGGGUGGUAAUGCUGGAUGCUCCAACUUGACGCAUGUCUUGUUGGGAAAGUGUUUAGUGGCAUGGGAUGGGGUCGCGUCCUAUCAGCUUGUAGGCGGGGUAAUGGCCCACCUAGGCUUCGACGGGUAGCCGGCCUGAGAGGGCGGACGGCCACAUUGGGACUGAGAUACGGCCCAGACUCCUACGGGAGGUAGCAGUC
rnacentral:rRNA from 1 species